rnacentral:rRNA from 1 species
GACGAACGCUGGCGGCGUGCCUAAUACAUGCAAGUAGAACGCUGAGGACUGGCGCUUGCACUGGUCUAAGGAGUUGCGAACGGGUGAGUAACGCGUAGGUAACCUACCUCAUAGAGGGGGAUAACAGCCGGAAACGGCUGCUAAUACCGCAUAAUGCAUUGGAUUCGCAUGUUUCUGAUGCCAAAGAUUUUAUCGCUGAAAGAUGAGCUCGCGUCUGAUUAGCUAGUUGGCGGGGUAACGGCCCACCAAGGCGACGAUCAGUAGCCGGACUGAGAGGUUGAACGGCCACAUUGGGACUGAGACACGGCCCAG